UAUCUCUGUAGAGUCUGCAUAUCAAUAAGCGGAGGAAAAGAAACUAACAAGGAUUCCCCUAGUAACGGCGAGUGAAGCGGGAAGAGCUCAAAUUUGAAAUCUUCAAGGUUUGACCUUGACGAAUUGUAGUUUAAAGAAGUGUUUUCGGUUAGAGGAGUAGGUAAAAGUUCUUUGGAAUAGGACAUCAUAGAGGGUGAGAAUCCCGUAUUUGACCAUUCUUUCUAGCUUUGUGAUACACUUUCAAAGAGUCGGAUUGUUUGGGAAUGCAGUCCAAAAUGGGUGGUAAAUUUCAUCUAAAGCUAAAUAUUGGCGAGAGACCGAUAGCGAACAAGUACCGUGAGGGAAAGAUGAAAAGAACUUUGAAAAGAGAGUUAAACAGUACGUGAAAUUGUCAAAAGGGAAGCGUUUGACACCAGUGUUGUUUUUCCGAAAAUCAAUUAAAAAUGGAUUCAGUGCUAAGUUAGUAUUGACCUUAUCAGCUUGCAUGCUUAGUUUUGGGUUCAUUUUUGAUGCACUUUUCGGUUAACAAGUCAACAUCAAUUUCCUUUGCUGUAAAAAGGCUAGGAAGGAAGGUGGCUUCAGUUUCGGUUGAAGUGUUUAUAGCCUUCUGUCUCUGCAGGUCGGAGAGAUUGAGGUCUGCAGCGUAGAUCCUUCGGGGCUAGAUACGUUCGUGCUAAGUUAUAGCCUUUGUAUAGACAACAUUGUUGACUAUGAUUAGUCAUUGUAGAUUUACUCGCAGAUAGCUAUUUUACCUACGCUUAGGAUGUUGAUCUACAGAGCGAGAGU
rnacentral:rRNA from 1 species